AAUUUUUGCCAUUAAUAAGGAUUUUUAUGACAUUUUUUCAUUACAUGUAUAUUACCAUCAAUCUUGUGUUUGUGUUUACGGUGAUGUUCUGUAAAGAAAAGUUUGAAAAAAAAUCGCUAAAGUUUGCUUGCGGAUAGCACUGAUUGCACAAUAUUAGGAAAUAUAUUUUUAUGUCAUAUAACGUUACCCGGUAACUGACUGCAUGUUGUAACGCGUUGUUUUGUUUUGCUUACGGCCAUAUGUGUACAUGUAAAUGAACGGUGCUUACACUAUUCGUACUUAUUGCAACAUGACAACAUUUUUGUAAAUUAUAUUCUGUAUAGGGACAGCUGAGGAAACCCGAAGGCUCAUACGUUUUCGAGGUGAAAACGAACAUCUGUUUUUAAAGUCCAAAUACGGCGCAAAAAAACUUUGGGACAUUGCCUAUGUAUUUCAAACUGUGCUGCCCUGCGGAAUCCCAACUUUGUGUUGUUUGUGCCAGACCCCAAAUGAUCAAGAUAUCCUGCCCACCCCGCUGCCUGCGACGUCUCCACUACCUGUGGCGUCCUUCCUGCCUGCUCGCCCUUCUGCCUGUGAUGCCUCUUCUGAAUGCCCUGCUGCUGUACCGCUGCUCGUCCUGCCAUCAGAAGCAGCACCAGCACCUGCCUGCCAUCACCUGCCUGCCCCCCACCUUUGAGACUCAGAUGUUAAAAUUUUGACAGUGUGAACUGGAACUUUGCCUUCUUGCCCAUUUGAAUUCCUCUGCAGGCCCCUGGAGGAUGGGCUCCCCCUUUGAGUCUGGCUCCUCCCAAGGCUUCUUCCUUCUAGGGAGCUUUUACUUGCCACUGUCACGUCUGGCUUGCUCACUGGGGUUUUUGGGUGGGGAUAAUGUAAAUCACUUUGAGACAAUGUAAUGUGAAAAUGUGAUAUACAAAUAAAAUUUAAUUGAAUUGAA